CUUAUGGCAGUAUAUCAGUGUUAAUGAAGCCUUAGUAACAGCAUUUGACAAGACAAGCCAACCCUUAAAUUAACAGGCCACCAAGAUGGCCUGAGAAACGGGUAGAAGUACAUAUAUUAGUCUACUACUCAUAUCUCAGUAAAACUGCUGCACGCCAAGGAGAACCCAUAAAUCAAAGAGUGUCUCCCCUUUGUGAUAACUGACUGACUCUCCUCCCCUCAAUCUAGCACCGUCGCCUACGAUAAGACACAACAGCGUAACGUGUUUGACUGAAUUAUUUAUACUAGACUUUGUGUGUCAUUAUUUGUUUUAAUUCAUGUUAAAUUAGUACAUUACAGAUGACUAUAUGUAUUGAGAACAUUCAGACACACGUGCAGUACACAACACGAGGAUAAGAAAAUACAGACAGAAGUAGUUGUACACAGCUCUGUAAUAUCGUGCAUGGUUUAAUGAAGUACAACCUGGGGAUGUAGAACAGGGUGAAAGCAACAGCUACUUCUAAAUAAUAAACAUGUCAUAUAUACAAACAUUAUCGUACAUAAUCUAUAUAGUGGAACUCUAUCAUAAACUACUGGUCCUGCAAUACACCAUUAAGGAUAGAGGUAUGGAUUGGAGGGUGGAGGCAGAAGGGGGCAUGACAGUACAAUACACCAUUAAGGAUAGAGGUAUGGAUUGGAGGGUGGAGGCAGAAGGGGGCAUGACAGUACAAUACACCAUUAAGGAUAGAGGUAUGGAUUGGAGGGUGGAGGCAGAAGGGGGCAUGACAGUACAAUACACCAUUAAGGAUAGAGAUAUGGAUUGGAGGGGGAGGCAGAAGGGGGCCUGACAGUACAAUACACCAUUAAGGAUAGAGGUAUGGAUUGGAGGGUGGAGGCAGAAGGGGGCAUGACAGUACAAUACACCAUUAAGGAUAGAGGUAUGGAUUGGAGGGUGGAGGCAGAAGGGGGCAUGACAGUACAAUACACCAUUAAGGAUAGAGGUAUGGAUUGGAGGGUGGAGGCAGAAGGGGGCAUGACAGUACAAUACACCAUUAAGGAUAGAGGUAUGGAUUGGAGGGUGGAGGCAGAAGGGGGCAUGACAGUACAAUACACCAUUAAGGAUAGAGGUAUGGAUUGGAGGGUGGAGGCAGAAGGGGGCAUGACAGUACAAUACACCAUUAAGGAUAGAGGUAUGGAUUGGAGGGUGGAGGCAGAAGGGGGCAUGACAGUACAAUACACCAUUAAGGAUAGAGGUAUGGAUUGGAGGGUGGAGGCAGAAGGGGGCAUGACAGUACAAUACACCAUUAAGGAUAGAGGUAUGGAUUGGAGGGUGGAGGCAGAAGGGGGCAUGACAGUACAAUACACCAUUAAGGAUAGCGGUAUGGAUUGGAGGGGGAGGCAGAAGGGGCCUGACAGUACAGUCAUCAGAACACACUGUGCUUUCAUCACAUCUUGACACGUGACACAGUGACUAUGAUUUUGGUUGAAAAUAGCAAUAUAUAUUCCCGACACACCCUCUGUCUCUAUAUGCCCCUUCCGAUCCAUCUCAGUACACUGAGUGUACAAAACAUUAUGAACACCUGCUCUUUCCUUGACUGACCAGGUGAAUCCAGGUGAAAGCUAUGAUCCCUUGUUGAUGCAACUUGUUAAAUCCACUACAAUCAGUGUAGAUGAAGGGGAGGAGACAGGUUAAUUAAGGAUUUUAAGCCUUGAGACAAUUGAGACGUGGUUUGUGCGUGUGUGCCAUUCAGAGGGUGCACAGAUACAUACCCAUAUACAUACAUACACCAUCUCCCUCUCCCCGCUCGGCGCUUCUCUCACCCCAUCCCCAUCAUUGCGUCUCUCAAUACAUACAUUUUAAACAAGCAUACAAACAGAAAUUAAACAAAAAAAGCUCAGUUUAAACCAAGAAGUUAGGUUCCACACAUGGAAGGUGCAGUGUAAUUCUGAAAUACAUAGAUCACCACCAUUCUAAGGUAAUUUAGACAAGGUUCCCAUACUUUGUAGAACUGAUCUGUUUUAGAAUGCAAUGUACAUGUCAGAUAUUCCAGAGGCACCCAUUCAAAUAGUAUCUUAUGCCAAUCUUUAAUAGAAGGAACCUUAUCACUAAUCCACUGUAAAAUGAUGUUUUUCCUCGCUGCGAAGGUAAGGAUGUUGUAAAGCCUCCUUUUACCCACAGAAGUAACAUGCCUACUAGGGAGACCUAACAGUAAAUAAACUGGGUCCAAUUCUAGAUCAACCCCUAUGAUCUUUUCAAUUUCUUGCAGAACACCAGACCAGUAUCUUUGUAUUUGGGUACACGACCAUAAACAAUGUGUUAGGGUGCCUGUAUCAGUUUUACAUUUAAGACACUGAGGGGAAGAGGAAGUGGGGCUAAAAGCAUGUCUGCGAUUUGGGGAUACAUGCAGUCUGUGUAUUAUACUUAAUUGGAUUGCUCUAGUACGAUUACAUAUAGAUACUGUUUUUGCAUAUUUCCAAAUGUCCUCCCACAUCUCUUUGUCAAUAGUAACAGACAAUUCUUUCUCCCACACUUGUUUCGCACUCUGUGUGUCGACAGCAGAAAAGGGACCUUAAAGCAUCAUAAAACAGACUUACAGACAUUUUCCUUUGUGGAAAAAAAGGCAUUCUUUCAAUGACAGACAUAUCAGGGUUGCCAAUUAAGGUGGUGCUCUUCAGAAUAUAAUAUCUUACUUGUAGGAAGCGUAAAAAGUCCUGCUUUGGGAGUCGAUAUUUCUCGACCAUUUGCUCAAACGUUGAGCUUAUUAAAGAGCAGAGUGCGGGUUUCUUCUUUUUUCUCAUUUUAGUCAACUGAUACCAUGCACCUGCAAAAAAGAUUGCUCAGAUGUGCGACUGCCUUUUUGAAUUUUGAAACAUUGGAGUCAACAUGGGCCAGCAUCCCUGUGGAACGCUUUCGGCACCUUGUAGAGUCCAUGACCUGACGAAUUGAGGCUGUUCUGAGGGCUAAAGGAGGUGAAACUCAAUAUUAGUAAGGUGUUCCUAAUGUUUUGUACGCUCAGUGUUUUUUUUUUUUUACUGUGGUUACCAGAGGAAAAUCCCUUACACAGGACAAAAACAGACAUUUCAUGUGGCAUAACAUUGCUUAUAUCAUACAUUUCUCAAACUGACUGUUGCAUGCCUCUGGUGACCACAAUGAGAAAUGGUGAUUCAGAUUUACAUUUUGUCUUGUGGUUUUUUGCCAUACUAUCAAUAUGGAGACUACAGCAUGUACACAAACAUCAAUAUUAAAAUAUAGAACAUACUGUAGUUUGCAUGUACAUAAACAUCAAUAUUUUCAAGAUAAAACAUAGUUUGCAUGCAAGAAGAAUAAAUAUAUAUAUAUAUUUUUUUUUUCCCCCAUGGAAGGAGGAAACUAUCUAGCAGUUGGAACCAUUCACACCAGACCACACAGAUCCAUCAGCAAAAAUCAUAAAAACCGUAUCAAAUGUUUCUGUUUUCAUUUGAUCUCCAUCAAUUAAAAACCUGACUUAAAAUACAUUGUUUCCCAUCCACAGUGACGGUCCAACGGACACUCUUUAUAUGGUACGUUAUUAAAUAUUUGACUAUACACUGUACAGGUUAGACCUGGUAUUAUGUCUAUAUCUACAGGUGGAUUCAUUUAUGAGGAUAAACAAAGUCUAUCAACACAUCUUACAUCUUUACCUAAAGGACCUCAAUCCUAUGCAACACUCCUCUUCUUAUCUAACAUGCACGGUGGGAAAAACACAAACCAUUAUGAUGAAUUAUGCACAAGAGGUUCUGGAAGGAUCUAUUAUUAUAUAAUCCAGAGACAAGGGUGGGAUUCGGCUGUGCUCUGCUAUGAUGAGACAGUAGUGAAGCCUAGGACAGGGUUUCCCAGAGUGAGGGAACAGGGAAAAUCAAAGCCACAUGUUUUUUGUUUGAUGUUACCUCUGGAGGACAUCAAAGCCAAAUCCCUGCAUACUUGGGGGAAAAAAGACCUAAGGACAUGUCUUUGAUUAUGAACCGAGAAAAAUAUCACAAAUAUUAAAAUGUGGAGCUGAGGAUCUCCAACUUGGGCCGCUUGCCAUUACAGCUCUUUGCAGGCGUUAAUUACUUAAUAUCUUCAAAAAGAGGAAAACACUAUGUUUGAAACAGUUUCUUUAUCUUACUUGUUAUUAAUGAUGAAUACUAUUUGGGGCCCUGUUAUUUAGGCCUGAAAACGUUUGAAAUCAGAUGAAAAUUGUAAUAAUUAAAAGUAUUAUUAUUCAAGUGGUCAAUUCUGUUGCUUUAUGUUCAAAAUACUAAUAAUGUUAUCCAAAUCAUGCUUACUUCAGUAACCACCAACCCAGUCGACACCUGUCCACAUCUGUGUCUCGGCGAAGAGAUCAAGUGUCACA